rnacentral:lncRNA from 1 species
AGAAAAAAAAAAAAAAAAAACCAGUGUAUGAAGCAUCCAUGUCACAGACCCAUCCAGACUGUGUUCUGAGGCACAAAAGUUAGGACACGUGACCACGUUUUUACAAAGACUCAAAAGUCAGAGAGAGAGAGAAAUGGGAGUGGUAGGGAUGGGGAGAUGAAGGAGGAAAAAUGAAUUCAUGGAAACAGAAUUGUGUCAGGGGAUUAUAUGCAUUUACGAGGCAUUUAUUCCGUAUUGCCAAAUCUCCCUCAAGACAGGUAUUAUUUUCUUUACAAUUUUUUCUAACUGUUAAAAUAUUUAUUACAAUGUAAUGGGAAUUGUUUAUAUAGAGAGUCUGAAACUUCUCUUUGCCCCGUUUCUGUGUUUCAGACAGCAAAGGCAUAUAAAGCCAUGAAAAACUGCUAUAUACAUGGUCUCUUAUUUUAUUUUUAUAGAUAUCUAUUGAAAUCGAGACUCCUACCCAGAUAUCUUUAGUGGAUGAAGCAUCAGGAGAGGAGACUUCAGAUUGGUGCAAGGAGAAGCUGCUAGAAUGGAGCUUCUGUACUCCAGGGGCAGAGUCAAAGACAUCCAAAGUGUAUAUUUAGAUACUAUGUUGUGUGAUCCAAGAUUUUACCAAAUUCCAAGUCGGGAGGAGUGUUUAAGUGGAGUCUUAGAGCUGGUUCAAAGCUGGAUCACUCGGAGCCUGUACC